rnacentral:lncRNA from 1 species
AUGUUUUACUACACUAAUUUUGUUAAAGAAGAUAAAAAUUUAAAAAAAAACACCAAUUUUUUGCACAUAUUGAAUGACAGGAAAAAAGACAAAAAUAAUAAAAUACAAAAUUCAGAAAAACAGUCAGAUGAAAAUACAUUUAUAGAUGUUAAAACAAAGGUAGAAAAAGAAAACUGCUUUUUUUACGACUAUAUAUAUUUUAAAUAUGAUGAUAAUGAAAAAAAACAAAAAAAAAUUCAUCCAGUUUUUAUCAAUAACGUUAACAAUAAAAAAAAAAUAUACAACUUGAGCAAAAUUAAUAGGUCUUAUACAAGGAAUAGGUAUGAAAACGCGCUAAAUAAAUAUGAGUUAGAUAAAAAUUUAUUUAGUUAUGAGAAAACGAAAUAUCUAGAUUCGCUUGAAAACAACACGGAGCAAGAGCAACAUGACGAGCUAGAUGAAGAACUAUUCGUAGAAAAAAGAAACCUAAAUCACAUUGACUAUCAUGAACAUGAUUUUGAAACAUUUAAAAAAAAAAAAUUCGAUGAAGACGAAAUAAACUAUUCAAUAAACAGAACUAUCUAUCAACUAAACAAAAUACAUGACACGAAGGAUGAGAACAAUAAUAAAAUAAAUUAUAGUGAUAAUAUUUCUAAUUUUAUAAGAAAAAACAAAGAUUGUCUUAAAAGGGAAAUUGACUUUACAUUUAAAAAUAUGUGCAUAGAAGAGAAGAUACAGUUAAAAUUAAAAAUAUUAGGAACCGAUGGAAAAGAAAUAAAGAACAAAAACAUAGAGAAUUUGUUCAUAAAUAAGGUGUGCUAUAAUGACAUAUAUAUAUAUAUAUAUACAUAUAUAUACAUACAUACACACACGUGUCAUUACUUUUAAUUCAUCUGUAUGUUACUAUAUGCAGUUUUAUUUUUGUACUGAUGUUUAUAUUUUUAACAUUUUCAACUUUUUUAGAAUCGAACAUUUGGAGAUUUAGCGAAAACUUUGGGUAAUUAUUUUAAACUUACUAAUGAAGAAGUCCAAAAUAUCAAAAUAUUUUUUGAUGGCGAGUUAUGCAAUUUUGAUCUUACCUUUGGUACAAUAUGAAGAAAAAAAAAAAAAAAAUAUAUAUAUAUAUAUAAUGGCAAUAACAUUAUUA